GGUUCACCGAGAAAUGGGAGUGGCGAACGGGUGAGUAACACGUGGGUAACCUACCCAUCAGCGGGGGAUAACACUUGGAAACAGGUGCUAAUACCGCAUAAUUCUUUUCUUCGCCUGGAGGAAAGAUGAAAGACGCCUUUGCGUCACUGAUGGAUGGACCCGCGCUGCAUUAGCUAGUUGGUGGGGUAACGGCUCACCAAGGCCACGAUGCAUAGCCGACCUGAGAGGGUGAUCGGCCACACUGGGACUGAGACACGGCCCAGACUCCUACGGGAGGCAGCAGUAGGGAAUCUUCGGCAAUGGACGAAAGUCUGACCGAGCAACGCCGCGUGAGUGAAGAAGGUUUUCGGAUCGUAAAACUCUGUUGUUAGAGAAGAACAAGGAUGAGAGUAGAAUGUUCAUCCCUUGACGGUAUCUAACCAGAAAGCCACGGCUAACUACGUGCCAGCAGCCGCGGUAAUACGUAGGUGGCAAGCGUUGUCCGGAUUUAUUGGGCGUAAAGCGAGCGCAGGCGGUUUCUUAAGUCUGAUGUGAAAGCCCCCGGCUUAACCGGGGAGGGUCAUUGGAAACUGGGAGACUUGAGUGCAGAAGAGGAGAGUGGAAUUCCAUGUGUAGCGGUGAAAUGCGUAGAUAUAUGGAGGAACACCAGUGGCGAAGGCGACUCUCUGGUCUGCAACUGACGCUGAGGCU
rnacentral:rRNA from 1 species